rnacentral:rRNA from 1 species
CAGUCGCCGCGGGAACACGAGGGGUGCAAGCGUCACUCGGAAUUACUGGGCGUAAAGCGUGCGUAGGUGGUGGUUUAAGUCCGUUGUGAAAGCCCUGGGCUCAACCUGGGAAUUGCAGUGGAUACUGGAUCACUAGAGUGUGGUAGAGGAUAGUGGAAUUUCCGGUGUAGCAGUGAAAUGCGUAGAGAUCGGAAGGAACAUCUGUGGCGAAGGCGACUAUCUGGGCCAACACUGACACUGAGGCACGAAAGCGUGGGGAGCAAACAGGAUUAGAUACCCCCGUAGUCCCUGUCUCUUAUAC